rnacentral:rRNA from 1 species
GACGCUGGCGGUAGGCUUAACACAUGCAAGUCGUGCGAGAAAGUACCUUCGGGUGCGAGUAGAGCGGCGGACGGGUGAGUAACGCGUAGGAAUCUACCUAGUAGAAGGGGAUAGCCCGGGGAAACUCGGAUUAAUACCGUAUACCUCCUUAGGGAGAAAGAGGGCUUAGCUUUGAUGCUCUCGCUAUUAGAUGAGCCUGCGUAAGAUUAGCUUGUUGGUGAGGUAAUGGCUCACCAAGGCGACGAUCUUUAGCUGGUCUGAGAGGACGAUCAGCCACAUUGGGACUGAGACACGGCCCAGACUCCUACGGGAGGCAGCAGUGGGGAAUAUUGGACAAUGGGCGCAAGCCUGAUCCAGCCAUACCGCGUGUGUGAAGAAGGCUUUCGGGUUGUAAAGCACUUUAAGUAAGGAGGAAAAGAUUGUAGUUAAUACCUGCAGUCCGUGACGUUACUUACAGAAUAAGGACCGGCUAAUUCCGUGCCAGCAGCCGCGGUAAUACGGAAGGUCCAAGCGUUAAUCGGAAUUACUGGGCGUAAAGCGCGCGUAGGUGGUUUUUUAAGUUGGAUGUGAAAGCCCUGGGCUCAACCUAGGAACUGCAUCCAAAACUAGAUGACUAGAGUACGAAAGAGGGAAGUAGAAUUCACAGUGUAGCGGUGGAAUGCGUAGAUAUUGUGAAGAAUACCAAUGGCGAAGGCAGCUUCCUGGUUCUGUACUGACACUGAGGUGCGAAAGCGUGGGUAGCGAACAGGAUUAGAUACCCUGGUAGUCCACGCCGUAAACGAUGACAACUAGCUGUUGGGAGACAAGAUCUCUCAGUGGCGCAGCUAACGCUUUAAGUUGUCCGCCUGGGGAGUACGGCCGC